GCAGCUCGAACAGGCUGUGGAGGGACAGCGUGGCCACGUGGGGCUUGCUCCAGCGCUCUCCUCCUUUCUCCACCUUCUCCUCAAACUUGAUCCACCUGGAAGGAUGAAGAGGACGGAGGUUCUCCACAGGCACAAAAAUGAUGUGAGGCCAACAGUACCUCCACCUGACAUAGGGGGCGCCGGUGAGUCCAUGGACUUCCAGUUUACAACAGCCGUUAAAGAACAUAAACCAGAAGUCUAGGAGAUUGAAGUCAUUUGUAAACCAUCACAAGUGAUUACUCCACCCAGAGUAAAUCCUGCCUUCACCAACUGGAGCUGGGAUAGGCUCCAGCAACAUCACGACCCAGAGAGGGAUUAAACCGGUUUGGUCGACGGGUGGAUGAAAUAAAUAGAGUUUUAGUAUUGAUGCUGUUUCAGGUAACACUGUUACAGUCUAGGGCUGCAACAAGUGAUUAUUUUAAGAAGUUUAAAAAGCUGCAUUACCCGUGAUAACGCGAGUGCGGAUGCUUUCUGCGGAAAAUGGCGACGCAAUUGACUGUAAUUGCUGCAGGGAUAUAGUGAAAAUGCAAAAACUAUUUGCAAAAUAUUAAAUUUGCUAAAAAAAAAAAA